ACUCAAAGGAAUUGACGGGGGCCCGCACAAGCGGUGGAUGAUGUGGUUUAAUUCGAUGCAACGCGAAAAACCUUACCUACCCUUGACAUGCCAGGAAUCCUGCAGAGAUGCAGGAGUGCCCGAAAGGGAACCUGGACACAGGUGCUGCAUGGCUGUCGUCAGCUCGUGUCGUGAGAUGUUGGGUUAAGUCCCGCAACGAGCGCAACCCUUGCCAUUAGUUGCUACAUUCAGUUGAGCACUCUAAUGGGACUGCCGGUGACAAACCGGAGGAAGGUGGGGAUGACGUCAAGUCCUCAUGGCCCUUAUGGGUAGGGCUACACACGUCAUACAAUGGCGGAUACAGAGGGUUGCCAACUCGCGAGAGGGAGCCAAUCCCAGAAAGUCCGUCGUAGUCCGGAUUGAAGUCUGCAACUCGACUUCAUGAAGUCGGAAUCGCUAGUAAUCGCGGAUCAGCAUGUCGCGGUGAAUACGUUCCCGGGCCUUGUACACACCGCCCGU
rnacentral:rRNA from 1 species